rnacentral:rRNA from 1 species
UACGUAGGGUGCGAGCGUUAAUCGGAAUUACUGGGCGUAAAGCGUGCGCAGGUGGUCAUGCAAGACAGAUGUGAAAUCCCCGGGCUUAACCUGGGAACUGCAUUUGUGACUGCACGGCUAGAGUGCGGCAGAGGGGGAUGGAAUUCCGCGUGUAGCAGUGAAAUGCGUAGAUAUCGGAAGGAACACCAGUGGCGAAAAGCGGCUUCCUGGUCCAGCACCGACGUUCAGGCACGAAAGCGUGGGGAGCAAACAGG